ensembl:misc_RNA Metazoa_SRP Metazoan signal recognition particle RNA
GCCAGGUGUGGUGGUGCACACCUGUAAUCCUGGCUACUUGGGAGGCUGAGGCAGGAGGAUCACUUGAGCUUGGGAGGCCUGGGUUGCAAUGAGCUGAGAUCAUGCCACUGCACUUCAGCCUGGGAGAUGAAGCAAGAUCCUGUCUCAA